UGCAGGCAUAUAUUAACAUGGGACCAACAGCUGCCAAGUGCACAUGUAACAGGUCACCCAGUUUCAUAGGUACAAAUCUGCUGACAGGUGCCCUUUAAUUGGCUUCCUAUGAAACUUUCCCGAGUUCAUGUGUGGCAGACAUAUGACAAAAAUUAGCCCAACUGGGGACAGGGAUGGCAACCUCUGCAGAGAGCAGAAUAUGUUGGUGCUGUAUAACUAUAAGAAAAUAAAUCAUGGGAAUCAUUCCUCCAGGAGCAGGGGUGCUGUGUGUUUGCAUGAUGGCACAAAACCUUUCCUGCCAGCCAACCUUACUUGUGCCCUCUUCUACAAAUAAACAAAACAAAAAUUGGAGGCCAUAUUCCUAAGCGAAAUCUUGGGGUGGAGUAACUUGCCCAUAUUCUUUCCUGCUUCCUCCUGUGUAUUUUUUUUUAGACUAGCAGCCCAGAUAUUUUCUCAUGUUGCCUGACCGAUACAGCACAUAAGUCAAUUGCAUACAUUAGGGAGCCUAUAGAAAAGGGGGAAGAUCUCAUCAUACUGGAGUUCCUUUUAACUCUUUCACUGCCAAGGACAUAUCUCAUACGUUCUCGCAGGGUGGCACUUCAGUAGCCAAGGACAUAUGAGAUACAUCAUUGCUUCUAAAAGCUCUAUCUCAGGCUGUAUAGCAGAAGUCUUGUUUUAAAGCUGAGAGUCUAAGCUAGCUAAGAAACAGGCAGAGAUGAAACCUUUAGAAAUCGGAUCAUGAGCGAGACUUGCAGGUAUAUGCAGUUCCCAAUUUACCCAACUGUAUCUCUGGCUAUAUCACGGCUAGCACAGCGAUUCUGGUCCUAUUUUAAAGCUUAGAUUCUCUAGCUGCUAUAGCACCUGCGAUAGAGCCAGUAGUAGCAAGGACAUAUUUCAUACAUCCUUGCCUAUUGAAGGGCCACUCUGUGUGGAUGUUCUUGGCAGGAAAAAGGUUAAAGAUGCAACAAAUUAAGAUGUUGUGUUGUAUACAACGUAGUGUUUUAUUUGCCUAUUAUUUGCCUAUAUUUAUAUACUGUUGAAGAACCCCUUUAAUUUUAUUUUAAUGUGUGAGUCAGGAGUGCAAGGAAACAUUAAGGCGAGAGAGUGGAGCCCAUAGAUUUUGCCAGCAAUCUAUGCCUGAAUGUUUUAUGAUGCCUUCAAUGUGAUGCUGGCUUAUAGAAGACUGCAGGUUAAAUAGAAGUAUAUGUAUAUAAAUAUAUAUUUAUGUUUGUGAUGAUUGAUAACUAACAUUCCAUGAUGUAAGGUAGUUUGUGUUGGAGGAGAUGAUUGUAAAGUACACAUUCUCAUUAUCGAGGUUGCCUGCAGGAUAUUGAGUCCUCUCAAUGUGCCAUUAUGUAUUUUCAUUCACAAUGCAAUAUUUCCAGGAUCACUAGGAAACUGAAAGUGUUUACUUGACUUCGAAUCAGUUUUUCACAAUUUUUAUGUAUAUAAAAUGAUUACUUUAGCAGCAUACCUGCGACAAAUAGUGGUUACAUCAUUUUUUUCCUCAUACUUUGAAUGCGGACCCAACUUAAAUGAAAUAUUUUAACCUAAAAUAAUUUAUUGUAUUUUAAAUGAAAAUCAGACUUAAAGUGUAGGUUACCUGUAAAAGUGACCUAAAAUGGCUGGAAAGACAUAUCACAACUCCAGACAAUUCUAGAUGAAACAGUCACACUGCACUUAUGGAGUGAUGGGGCAGAUUACACGGCCAAACUGCUUUUAGGGACUACCUGGUUAUUCUGGACCACGCAUAUCACAGCAAUAAUCUGUCUAUAUGGUCUGGACCUCCUUCUUGUAACAGCAGUCUGGAGCCAGAAUACGUAGCCAGACUGCUGUUAUAGCGGGAGGUCCAGACUACACAGCCAGUCUACCACUGUUAAACGGAGGGGGCCAGAAUAGACAGUCAGACAACUGUUAUAGUUGUAGGUCAAGACUACACAGCUAGACUACUAUUAUAGUGGUAGGUCCAGAAUACACAGCUAGACUACCGCUGUUAUGAGGGAGGUCCAGACUACACAGCUAGACUGCUGUUAAAGGGGGAGGUCCAGACUACAUAGCCACAAUACUGCAGUUAUGGGCGGUCCAGAAUAUACAACCAGACUACCACUGUUAUGAGGGAAGGUCCAGACUACACAGGCAGACUACUGAUGUUAUCGGGAGGGGGGGGGGGUCCUGAAUAUACAACCAGACUACAGUUAUAGUGGUAGGUCCAGACUACACAGCCAGACUACUGUUAAGAGGGAGGUCCAGACUGCACAGCCACAAUAAUGCAGUUAUGGGGGGUCCAGAAUAUACAACCAGACUACCGCUGUUAGGAUGAAAGGUCCAGACUACAUAGCCAGACUACUGAUGUUAUUGGGGGGGGUCCUGAAUAUACAACCAGACUACAGUUAUAGUGGUAGGUCCAGACUAGACAGCCAGACUACAGUUAUAGUGGUAGGUCCAGACUAUACAGCCACAAUAAUCCAGUUAUGGGCGGUCCAGAAUAUACAACCAGACUACCACUGUUAUGAGGGAAGGUCCAGACUACACAGCCAGACUACUGAUGUUAUUGUGGGGGUCCUGAAUAUACAUCCAGACUACAGUUAUAGUGGUAGGUCCAGACUACACAGCCAGACUACAGUUAUAGUGGUAGGUCCAGACUAUACAGCCACAAUAAUGCAGUUAUGGGGGGUCCAGAAUAUACAACCAGACUACCACUGUUAUGAGGGAAGGUCCAGACUACACAGCCAGACUACUGAUGUUAUUGUGGGGGUCCUGAAUAUACAACCAGACUACCACUGUUAUGAGGGAAGGUCCAGACUACACAGCCAGACUACUGAUGUUAUUGUGGGGGUCCUGAAUAUACAACCAGACUACAGUUAUAGUGGUAGGUCCAGACUAUACAGCCACAAUAAUGCAGUUAUGGGGGUCCAGAAUAUACAACCAGACUACCACUGUUAUGAGGGAAGGUCCAGACUACACAGGCAGACUACUGAUGUUAUCGGGGGAGGGGGGGGGGUUCUGAAUAUACAUCCAGACUACAGUUAUAGUGGUAGGUCCAGACUACUGUUAAAGGGGAGGUCCAGACUACAUAGCCACAAUAAUGCAGUUAUGGGGGGUCCAGAAUAAAGACGACAGCCCUACUACUGUGAUAGGGAGGAGGUUGAGGAGGUCCAAAACUACACUUUAUUGAUUUUCAUCUGUCUUGUCUUAGGGAAUAUGUAUACGCAUUAAGCACUGGAUGAAGCUGCAGUAAUCCAGGGUAAAGGCAAUGCACUACCUUUUUUAUUGUUCAUUUUUUUUAUUUUCCAGCUGAAGGGGCAUACACAAUGUUUUUUGUUUUUUUUCUUCUAAUGCCAAUCAACCUCAGCUACAUCAAAUGUGAAUUCUGCAGGAAAGCUUUAUAUUUGUUGUCUAAUUUAAAGAUAAUUUGUGAAGGUUCUUAAUCUCUACCGCGGACACGUCUCACUUGACACUCUUAUUGACACAGUUCAUUUUUUUGUAUUAUACAAUUGUCGCAGCUGUAAAUUAAGAUGAUAUUCUGUAAGUAUGGAGAGAAAAUGUAUUUGGUGAAUGGUGUUAGUUUCAAUAUUAGAAAAACAAUGUUCAUCUGUGUCCUGCGAGUAAAUGAUUUGUUCUUAAAUCCAUUUUGCAACUUGUCGACAAGUCCAUGCGUAGCAAUUUCUAAUCGCUGAAUUUAAUUAACAUUUCACAAACUGUACGCCAUCAUUUUUUAGUACAGUUUGCAUGAGUAAAUUAUGUAUAAAAUAAAUGCGUUAUUUAAGAUUGUUUUUUUAUUUUUAAUAAUCUUAUUCGGUUACUGUAUUUCCAUUGUUUACAUAAUGUCUUUAUGAUCUGUCUAGAAGGCAAGCACAUAAAUGUACAUUGAAAUAAACAUUUUAAAAAGCAA